rnacentral:rRNA from 1 species
UCUGGUGUUUAAACCUUGGGCUCAACCUGAGGUCGCACUGGAAACUGGGUGGCUUGAGUACAGAAGAGGAAAGUGGAAUUCCACGUGUAGCGGUGAAAUGCGUAGAGAUGUGGAGGAACACCAGUGGCGAAGGCGACUUUCUGGGCUGUAACUGACGCUGAGGCGCGAAAGCGUGGGGAGCAAACAGGAUUAGAUACCC